rnacentral:rRNA from 1 species
CUGUUGCCUCGGCGGGGUCACGCCCCGGGUGCGUCGCAGCCCCGGAACCAGGCGCCCGCCGGAGGGACCAACCAAACUCUUUCUGUAGUCCCCUCGCGGACGUUAUUUCUUACAGCUCUGAGCAAAAAUUCAAAAUGAAUCAAAACUUUCAACAACGGAUCUCUUGGUUCUGGCAUCGAUGAAGAACGCAGCGAAAUGCGAUAAGUAAUGUGAAUUGCAGAAUUCAGUGAAUCAUCGAAUCUUUGAACGCACAUUGCGCCCGCCAGUAUUCUGGCGGGCAUGCCUGUCCGAGCGUCAUUUCAACCCUCGAACCCCUCCGGGGGUCCGGCGUUGGGGAUCGGGAACCCCUAAGACGGGAUCCCGGCCCCGAAAUACAGUGGCGGUCUCGCCGCAGCCUCUCAUGCGCAGUAGUUUGCACAACUCGCACCGGGAGCGCGGCGCGUCCACGUCCGUAAAACACCCAACUUCUGAAAUGUUGACCUCGGAUCAGGUAGGAAUAC